rnacentral:rRNA from 1 species
AUGAACGCUGGCGGCGUGCUUAGCACCUGCCAGUCGCACGAUGAAGCCCAGCUUGCUGGGUGGAUUAGUGGCGAACGGGUGAGUAACACGUGAGUAACCUGCCCUUGACUCUGGGAUAAGCCUGGGAAACUGGGUCUAAUACUGGAUAUGACUUCUCAUCGCAUGGUGGGGGGUGGAAAGAUUUAUUGGUCUUGGAUGGACUCGCGGCCUAUCAGCUUGUUGGUGAGGUAAUGGCUCACCAAGGCGACGACGGGUAGCCGGCCUGAGAGGGUGACCGGCCACACUGGGACUGAGACACGGCCCAGACUCCUACGGGAGGCAGCAGUGGGGAAUAUUGCACAAUGGGCGCAAGCCUGAUGCAGCGACGCCGCGUGAGGGAUGACGGCCUUCGGGUUGUAAACCUCUUUCAGUAGGGAAGAAGCGAGAGUGACGGUACCUGCAGAAGAAGCGCCGGCUAACUACGUG